rnacentral:rRNA from 1 species
UACGUAGGGUGCGAGCGUUAAUCGGAAUUACUGGGCGUAAAGCGUGCGCAGGCGGUUUUGUAAGCCAGAUGUGAAAGCCCCGGGCUCAACCUGGGAAUGGCAUUUGGGACUGCAAGGCUUGAGUGCGGCAGAGGAGACUGGAAUUCCUGGUGUAGCAGUGAAAUGCGUAGAUAUCAGGAGGAAUACCGAUGGCGAAGGCAGGUCUCUGGGCUGACACUUACGCUCAUGCACGAAAGCGUGGGGAGCAAACAGG